GAUGAACGCACAAGACGUGCCUAACACAUGCAAAUCGAAUGAAAACAAUAAGUAAUUAUUGUUUUCAUGGUGAACGGGUGAGUAAUACAUAAGAAUCAGCUUUUAGAUAAGGCAUAAAAGAAUAAUAUCUUGGUAAUUCCUUAUAUGCGCACUAGUGCUUAAAAAGGGGAGUCCCGUCUAAAAACGAGCUUAUGCCUGAUUAGCUAGUUGGCGAGUUAAAAGCUCACCAAGGCGAAGAUCAGUAGCUGGCCUGAGAGGGCGGCCAGCCACAUUGGGACUGAGACACGGCCCAAACUCCUACGGGAGGCAGCAGUGGGGAAUCUUCUGCAAUGGGCGCAAGCCUGACAGAGCGGCGUCGUGUGAAGGAAGAAGGCC
rnacentral:rRNA from 1 species